GACGAACGCUGGCGGCGUGCCUAACACAUGCAAGUCGAGCGGGGUUGAAGCGAGAGGUAACUCGAACUUCUACCUAGCGGCGGACGGGUGAGUAACGCGUGGGCAACCUGCCUCAAGGUCUGGGAUAACAGCCCGAAAGGGCUGCUAAUACUGGGUAUGCUUGUGGCCUCGCAUGGGGCUAUGAGCAAAGGGGAAACCCGCCUUGAGAUGGGCCCGCGUCCCAUCAGCUAGUUGGUGAGGUAACAGCUCACCAAGGCGACGACGGGUAGCCGGCCUGAGAGGGUGACCGGCCACACUGGGACUGAGACACGGCCCAGACUCCUACGGGGGGCAGCAGUGGGGGAUCUUGCACAAUGGGCGAAAGCCUGAUGCAGCGACGCCGCGUGAGCGAAGAAGGCCUCGGUUGUAAGCUCUGUCUGGAGGGACGGAAGGAAGGUAGACGGUACCUCCGGAGGAAGCCGACGGCUAACUACGUGCCAGCAGCCGCGGUAAAUCACGUGUA
rnacentral:rRNA from 1 species